GGCGCAACGGCAUUUAAGUUUCGAGACUUCUCCGUUUAAUUCUCUGAUUUUCAUCUCUGUUUCGUGCAUAAAGACAACUUUUGGAUGUCCAGCCAGAGAUGUUUUUCACAAAAGUAUAAUGACAAGUACUGAGCGAUGGAUUCAAUUCUCCUCAUCACCAUCCCCAUUUCCAAGCAAGAACCAGCAAGAUCUAGAAUAUCUAGACUGCAUCAUCAGAAUGUUUUUCCUUGUGUAGCGAAAAGUGCUGAGCUAUGGAUUCACUUCACCUCAACGCCAUCCCCAAUUUCUAGGAAGGAUCAAUUCAUAUUGUGAACUUAUAGAGGUUGUGCUGUAGACCAUGAUCCGGUCCAUGUAAAGUUGACCAGAGGGACACGUAAAGACGUUACGGAGCGGGAGCCGCAAGAUUGGGGCAAGAAAUGGCGUGGUAACCAACGACAGCGCCAAAGAAUGACAGGGUGAGGACAGUAGAUACAUCUACCACCAUUCUGACAGCAGACUUACACAAGGCCUGUUUCAAGAUCAGGGGCGUGGCUGUCACUAAGGUUGUCCAAGAGAGACCCGAUGCUAUAUUACUGUUGAAAAAGACAAAGCGGUUUGGUUUGGCAUGCCUAAGUAUUGACUGACAAAUAGUCAAAAAGCAUAGUUUUAAGAUUGGAGGACAGGGAUGUCACAGAGGUCUGGAAAAACCAUUGCUAAUUAGGAUGCACUCACAUCUGGAACACCUGCUGUGAAGAAGGGCUGGGUACGCAACAAGAAAGCACCUCAACGGAAAAUCAGUGGUAACUGAAGCUGGUAGAGCGCUGUGACAUCUCUCGUAAACAAGCUGGGUUAUAGACAAGGAUCAAUCAACCAAGUUCAGAUGUCUUGAACACGAUAGGGCCCCUUCCAUUCUGACUGGAAAAGACAUCUCUCAUCUAUGGUUUCUGCAUGAUCAAGGGUAUCCACAGUUUCUUUGCUGGGAUAAUGGAAAGCAGUGGAAUUCCUGUCCUUGUCAAGGACCUAAAUAUUUGAUGACAUCAUUCCGUCAUAUAUUGCAAUGUCCACCAGUAAUUUUAUGCAGACUUAAGUUUUGCUUUGAAGCAAUAUCAGUGCUACACUUGUGAAGCAGUGGCAGUGUUCAGGUCUUGCCUGCCUCGAUGACAUAUCUGCAUACCAGCAGUUAUGUGCAGACUUGGCUCUUUCUUUGGAGCAGUACAGUUGCAAGAUAAAUCCUGUUUGUAAUUUUAUAAAUUUGUUGCUCAUUAAGGGCUUACGAAGGUUUUGAUGCCUUGCUGGCAUAUCUGCAUACCAGUAAAUAUGUGCAGAUUCAUUUCUUGCUUUGAAGCAAUAUCGUUGCUACACUCCUAAAGCAGUGGCAAUGUUCAGGUCUGUUCUGCCUCACGGGCAAAUCUGCAUACCAGUAAUUAUGUGCAGAAUUGGCUCUUCCAGAGAUUGUAGGACUGGGUCCAUUGAAUGUAACAAAAAUAAUCGAUGCCUAUUUACAAAUGAAAUGAAGAGUCUGCAUUUUGAUGCAACUCCAUAUAACUGUGUGGUGAUUUCGCUCUGGGCUUGUGACAUUCUGAUCGGUCUGAAAUAAUCAUUGUCGCCCAUCCCUCAAUUUGAGGCCUGUGUCCCGAUGGUGGCGUUGAAUGGCAAAAUCAAAGGGGCAUGACGGCGGUUAAACCUAUUGCGAAUGGGCAGCAUCACAACCAGUUCUGAGAUCUGGGGGUGGUGUAGGAUAUCUGGUUACCACGC